rnacentral:rRNA from 1 species
AUAAGUGCUGAAAGCAUCUAAGCAUGAAGCCCCCCUCAAGAUGAGAUUUCCCAUAGCGUAAGCUAGUAAGAUCCCUGAAAGAUGAUCAGGUUGAUAGGUUCGAGGUGGAAGCAUGGUGACAUGUGGAGCUGACGAAUACUAAUAGAUCGAGGACUUAACCAU